rnacentral:rRNA from 1 species
CCUACGGGAGGCAGCAGUGGGGAAUAUUACACAAUGGGGGAAACCCUGAUGCAGCGACGCCGCGUGAGUGAAGAAGUAUUUCGGUAUGUAAAGCUCUAUCAGCAGGGAAGAAAAUGACGGUACCUGAUUAAUAAGCCCCCGCUAACUACGUGCCAGCAGCCGCGGUAAUACGUAGGGGGCAAGCGUUAUCCGGAUUUACUGGGGGAAAAGGGAGCGUAGACGGCAGCACAAGUCUGGAGUGAAAGGGCGGGGCUUAACCCCGGUACUGCUUUGGAAACUGUGCAGCUAGAGUGCAGGAGAGGUAAGUGGAAUUCCUAGUGUAGCGGUGAAAUGCGUAGAUAUUAGGAGGAACACCAGUGGCGAAGGCGGCUUACUGGACUGUAACUGACGUUGAGGCUCGAAAGCGUGGGGAGCAAACAGGAUUAGAUACCCGAGUAGUC